GUAUGUGAGUCAAGAAGAAGAGAGGGAGCUCAUUCUUGAGUCCGUCAUUUCUGCUGGAAGAAGUUUAGAAAGAGAGUAAGUUUGAGAGCUCAAGCAUGUAGAGAGAGAAACCCACUUUGUGAUGGAAAUUGAAGGAAGAACAAGGGGAUUUAAAGGAAAAUAAACUCAAUUUGCUGAAAUUAAAGUUUAAGGUGAUCAGGCGCAUAACUAGGCCUAGAGUUUCUUCCUAGAAUCUAUCUUUGUUAGCCAACCUAUGUACUUCCCGCGGAGGUUCCGGAUACGUCAAGUGGUCAAGGCUGUAUGAUUAAAGUUUAAGUUUUUGUUUAUUCUAUAAUUAGGGCUAAGUUCCUUUUUGUCUUAUCUGUAUAUAUACAUGAUGACGUAAGGAUGAUGUGUAUAUAUAUAUAUAUAAAGUUUAAAAUUUUUCUGUCUCAUA